CCAUGUAGCGAUUUCGAUAGACGACGCCUUCAAGGGAGGAGGAGUCUACAACAUAUUGAAUUUAUCGAUCGAUUGUUAGGCCGAUUUCGAUCAGCAUUGUAUAGUUAAUGAAUGACAACUUGACGAGAUCUCGACACGCACGUUGGAAGUGUACGCGUGUUUGCACCUCGAUGAGCGUUGCACAAUAACAAAGCUCCGUUGGUGAGCGUAUUGAUUAAUAAAGCUAGGUGAAGUCCUUGAGUGCCUCAAGAAGGAAUCGCCGAGCAUCGUCAUACAGUAUUUUUUCCUUCAACAAUUAAUCUUGCAUCUCCAACCGUGGAAUGAGUUACAUGUGACUCGAGACAAACAAACAGUGCAAUUGCAACAAUAUAAUUAGUCAGCGGUAUGGUCACUAUCAGCAGCUUUACACACAGUGUGCAUCGUGAAUACACCAAUCCCAGAGAAAAAAUUCCAAUGGAAAAUAUUGAGAAUUUCUGCCCUUCUAUCCUAAACUACACAAUGCUGGUUUGUAUAAAUAGGCAUAAAAAAACCUAUCAACAGUAUUUUUAGUUUGCAGUUUGCUUUAACAUACAACUCUAUGGCAUGUUGAUAUUAGCUAAAUUUUUAUUAUUUAUAGGAUAAGACGGUACAAAAAAUUCUUCUCUUGGAAGUUUAUGACUUUGGACUUGCUUGAGAUGACCCUUGAGCCAAGAAGCUUUUCCUGCUUUGUGUGGACAGGAAUAUUGUCACACGA